UACCGUUUCGAAACGGUAUGAUUAGUCAUAUUGUGUUAUGAGCCAUUACGAGGUCGUGGAAAAUAAGGUGGCGGUCCGUCGCGUAGUGAUUUCAACGGGUCUAGAAAAUUCACGCGGCUCUCUUUAUUUCCCGAUAAGAAAUUAAUUCGAAACUCGGUCCAUUUCGAAUUUCGAAAGGUUACGAACACGAUUACGAAUUUUGGUAUUGAACCGUGAAGGUUUUCCCUUUCGAGGAACAACUGGUAACAAAUUGCCGAUCAAUUUUGUUAUGACGGGUACCGAAUAAAGGGGUAAGAAGCCCUCUGCGUGGAGAGGGAAUACACGUUUCAAUUCGAAUCACGCGGUGCCCUCGAGCUCAACAAUGGCCUAUUCUUUGAGCGGGGGAUACGAGGAGGGGAAAAAUCAAGGGGGAAUAAUCACCCCUCGUAUAAAUAUAGGUCACGAUAGAAACAGCGUUGGAUAAGCUGUGUGUUGACCGACGACGUGAACGUAGAAUGAAAUCACUCGUGCGGAUUUAUCUGGAGAGAGAAAGAGAGAGAAAGAGAGAGAGAGAAUAGAAUAAAUUUUGAGAUAAAAAUGUGUUAAUCUAUAUCUAUACUUUUUUGGAAAUGGUAUAUAUGUUCUUUUCGUUGGAGAAAUGAAUCGACGAUAAAAAGCUUUUGAGAAAGCUUCGAAGAUGUAUUCGACAAAUAUUGAAAGAGAGAAAGAAAAAAAAAAAAAGAAAUAGGAAACGAGAUUAAAAUUAUCAAAUGUUCGUUUGCUUCUAAUUCAUUCGCUAUCUCUUGAGAAAGUUUCAAUCAUUCUUCAAAAAGAUCUGGAUGUAAUUUUAAAUAACAAUAUUAAAAAUAAUUUUAUCAACCAUCAACGAUAUUUGUUAUUCGAUAAGCGGUGUAUUUCGACCGAUGAUACGUUCUUUAUUUGAUCAAUUAAGGCAAUUAUUUGAAAGAACGAUAAAUUAAAAUAAUUUGAGAAAAUGAUAUAUAAUGAUAUAAAACAGGAAUAAUGUAAACGUUCCAAAAGAAAUCAAUUAUUUUCAUCAAAAUCAAAUUUAAUCAUUCUCAAAUAAUGUAUAUAUAUAUAUAUAUAAAAUAAUAAUAAAUUUAAAUAUAACUUGAAAAUCCCUCUGGUAACCAGAACUUAGAAUCUAAAGCUCCAGUCAUGGGUAGGGUCCGGUAUUGCGAUCUUUUAUAUGCGUUCCACGAACACCAUGCCUCUAAUAGAAUUUCCCCUUACAAAGCGGCGACGGGAACAAAGUGUGCUCGUUUGUUUGCCUCGAUUCACUUUCGCUCUAUCAACCGACAUCGAGUCUCUCGAUAUAUUAUCGGGGAAAUUUGGGCUCUCAAAAAAUUUGAAAACCAUUUCCACAAUUGAAGGGAUCGUUGGAAAACGACACGAUAAAUUUGUAUAUAAUUCACGAAUAAACGAUCUCUGUGUGAUCGAUAGGAAAAAAAAAAAAAAAAAAAAGGCAGAUGAUUGGAAAAUCAAAAAUACAAAAGUGGUGAUAAUAUUUUUCUGAUAAUCCUUUUAUGUAUUUAAAUAUUUUCACCGUUAUAUACCCGAUAUAUACUCCGAUCCUGAAGGAUUGUAUUAGACGAUAAGGAGGAGGUUGAAAAGAAGGGAUGGCCGAUGUUUCCUUUUAACGAUCCCAGAACACCCAUUCUACCGGAAACGAAACGUGUUUCUACGGUCUGGAAUCAGUCAAUUUUCUCUUUUCGAGGAUCAUAAAGGUCCGCUGCGACCGGCUGCGAGAUUCUUUCUCUCGAGCCGUCGAGUCGAGGCAUUAUUACUCGUGAGGCACGCAAUUUCAGACGAGCCACGUCCUUCCUCGGGGACCUUUUAUUAUUCCGUUGACACAUGGCCCGCAAUCACUUCUGCACCCUUCCACACACAGUCACGGCUGACUUCGUGACGGGUGCGCGCGGGGAAGGGAUCUCGGUCGUUCGCGGCUCAACCAUCAUAGACGAUUUUUCUGAAUCGAUUCAACGAGACAGAAAUAUUCCCUUUAUUUACUCGCCGAUUUCAUUUACCUUCGCAGAUGUUAUCACGCUCAAUUUUCCCGGCUAAUUUUAUUUAUACC